rnacentral:rRNA from 1 species
CGAACGCUGGCGGCAUGCCUAACACAUGCACGUCGAACGAUUGCCUUCGGGUGAUAGUGGCGCACGGGUGCGUAACGCGUGGGAAUCUGCCCUUAGGUUCGGAAUAACAGCUGGAAACGGCUGCUAAUACCGGAUGAUAUCGCGAGAUCAAAGAUUUAUCGCCUGAGGAUGAGCCCGCGUUGGAUUAGGUAGUUGGUGGGGUAAAGGCCUACCAAGCCGACGAUCCAUAGCUGGUCUGAGAGGAUGAUCAGCCACACUGGGACUGAGACACGGCCCAGACUCCUACGGGAGGCAGCAGUGGGGAAUAUUGGACAAUGGGCGCAAGCCUGAUCCAGCAAUGCCGCGUGAGUGAUGAAGGCCCUAGGGUUGUAAAGCUCUUUUACCCGGGAAGAUAAUGACUGUACCGGGAGAAUAAGCCCCGGCUAACUCCGUG